AAACUUAAAGGAAUUGACGGGGGCCCGCACAAGCGGUGGAGCAUGUGGUUUAAUUCGAUGCAACGCGAAGAACCUUACCUACUCUUGACAUCCAGAGAACUUAGCAGAGAUGCUUUGGUGCCUUCGGGAACUCUGAGACAGGUGCUGCAUGGCUGUCGUCAGCUCGUGUUGUGAAAUGUUGGGUUAAGUCCCGCAACGAGCGCAACCCUUAUCCUUUGUUGCCAGCGGUUAGGCCGGGAACUCAAAGGAGACUGCCAGUGAUAAACUGGAGGAAGGUGGGGAUGACGUCAAGUCAUCAUGGCCCUUACGAGUAGGGCUACACACGUGCUACAAUGGCAUAUACAAAGAGAAGCGACCUCGCGAGAGCAAGCGGACCUCAUAAAGUAUGUCGUAGUCCGGAUUGGAGUCUGCAACUCGACUCCAUGAAGUCGGAAUCGCUAGUAAUCGUGGAUCAGAAUGCCACGGUGAAUACGUUCCCGGGCCUUGUACACACCGCCCGUCACACCAUGGGAGUGGGUUGCAAAAGAAGUAGGUAGCUUAACCUUCGGGAGGGCGCUUACCACUUUGUGAUUCAUGACUGGGGUGAAGUCGUAACAAGGUAACCGUAGGGGAACCUGCGGUUGGAUCACCUCCUUUCUG
rnacentral:rRNA from 1 species